CGCUGGCGGCGUGCCUAAUAAUGCAGUCGAGCGCAGGAAUCGACGGAACCCUUCGGGGGGAAGUCGAYGGAAUGAGCGGCGGACGGGUGAGUAACACGUAAAGAACCUGCCCUCAGGUCUGGGAUAACCACGAGAWAUCGGGGCUAAUACCGGAUGGGUCAUCGGACCGCAWGGUCCGAGGAUGAAAGGCGCUUCGGCGUCGCCUGGGGAUGGCUWUGCGGUGCAUUAGCUAGUUGGUGGGGUAAUGGCCCACCAAGGCGACGAUGCAUAGCCGACCUGAGAGGGUGAUCGGCCACACUGGGACUGAGACACGGCCCAGACUCCUACGGGAGGCAGCAGUAGGGAAUCUUCCACAAUGGACGAAAGUCUGAUGGAGCAACGCCGCGUGAACGAUGAAGGCCUUCGGGUCGUAAAGUUCUGUUGUAAGGGAAGAACAAGUGCCGCAGGCAAUGGCGGCACCUUGACGGUACCUUGCGAGAAAGCCACGGCUAACUACGUGCCAGCAGCCGCGGUAAUACGUAGGUGGCAAGCGUUGUCCGGAAUUAUUGGGCGUAAAGCGCGCGCAGGCGGCCUCUUAAGUCUGAUGUGAAAGCCCCCGGCUCAACCGGGGAGGGCCAUUGGAAACUGGGAGGCUUGAGUAUAGGAGAGAAGAGUGGAAUUCCACGUGUAGCGSUGAAMUGCGUAGAGAUGUGGAGGAACACCAGUGGCGAAGGCGACUCUUGGCCUAUAACUGACGCUGAG
rnacentral:rRNA from 1 species